GUACCCGGUAAGGUGUAAUGCCGAGUUGGGAGUUGGUGUUGCUUCAAGAGAGAACAAGUUUGUCGUCUACCACAGAAAGCUACAGUAAGCUCUGUCUCAAACUAUCUAGGGAGAGGGUCAGUUGGAAAUCAUGUACUGUCUUCCAAAACUGUAGAGGGGUCCAACCAAGAAAUGGCUUCGAUGAUUGAUACAAGGCCUUAUACACAACUGGGUGAACUGGGAAUGUCUAGGAAUCGAACCACCAACCCAUGGAACAAGAGGCAAGCAGUAUAUCCACUUGACCG